rnacentral:rRNA from 1 species
GCAGCAGUGGGGAAUUUUGGACAAUGGGCGCAAGCCUGAUCCAGCAAUGCCGCGUGAGUGAAGAAGGCCUUCGGGUUGUAAAGCUCUUUUGUCAGGGAAGAAACGGGAGUGGCUAAUAUCCAUUCCUAAUGACGGUACCUGAAGAAUAAGCACCGGCUAACUACGUGCCAGCAGCCGCGGUAAUACGUAGGGUGCAAGCGUUAAUCGGAAUUACUGGGCGUAAAGCGUGCGCAGGCGGUUAUGCAAGACAGAUGUGAAAUCCCCGGGCUCAACCUGGGAAUU